UGGGGAAUUUUGGACAAUGGGCGCAAGCCGAUCCAGCCAUGCCGCGUGCGGGAAGAAGGCCUUCGGGUUGUAAACCGCUUUUGUCAGGGAAGAAAUCCUUUGAGCUAAUACCUCGGGGGGAUGACGGUACCUGAAGAAGAAGCACCGGCUAACUACGUGCCAGCAGCCGCGGUAAUACGUAGGGUGCGAGCGUUAAUCGGAAUUACUGGGCGUAAAGCGUGCGCAGGCGGUUGUGUAAGACAGGUGUGAAAUCCCCGGGCUCAACCUGGGAACUGCAUUUGUGCCUGCGUAGCUGGAGUGCGGCAGAGGGGGAUGGAAUUCCGCGUGUAGCAGUGAAAUGCGUAGAUAUGCGGAGGAACACCGAUGGCGAAGGCAAUCCCCUGGGCCUGCACUGACGCUCAUGCACGAAAGCGUGGGGAGCAAACA
rnacentral:rRNA from 1 species